rnacentral:rRNA from 1 species
UACAACGGAGAGUUUGAUCCUGGCUCAGGAUGAACGCUAGCGGGAGGCUUAACACAUGCAAGCCGAGGGGUAUUCAGUUGCUUGCAACUGAAGAGACCGGCGCACGGGUGAGUAACGCGUAUGUAACUUGCCUCAUUCAACGGGAUAGCCCGGGGAAACCCGGAUUAAUAUCGUAUAACAGCCGGACAGGCAUCUGUUUGGUUUGAAAGAUUCAUCGGAAUGAGAUAGACAUGCGUAUGAUUAGUUAGUUGGCGGGGUAACGGCCCACCAAGACGAUGAUCAUUAGGGGUCCUGAGAGGGUGAUCCCCCACACUGGUACUGAGACACGGACCAGACUCCUACGGGAGGCAGCAGUGAGGAAUAUUGGACAAUGGGUGAGAGCCUGAUCCAGCCAUCCCGCGUGCAGGAAGACGGCCUUAUGGGUUGUAAACUGCUUUUAUACAGGAAUAAACCAUCUUACGAGUAGGGUGUUGAAGGUACUGUAUGAAUAAGCACCGGCUAACUCCGUGCCAGCAGCCGCGGUAAUACGGAGGGUGCAAGCGUUAUCCGGAUUUAUUGGGUUUAAAGGGUCCGCAGGCGGGUCUGUAAGUCAGGGGUGAAAUCCGGCAGCUUAACUGUCGAACUGCCUUUGAUACUGCAGGUCUUGAGUGGGAAUGAAGCAGCUGGAAUGUGUGGUGUAGCGGUGAAAUGCAUAGAUAUCACACAGAACACCGAUAGCGAAGGCAGGUUGCUAAUUCUCAACUGACGCUGAGGGACGAAAGCGUGGGGAGCGAACAGGAUUAGAUACCCUGGUAGUCCACGCCGUAAACGAUGGAUACUGUCUGUUGGUUCGUAAGGAUCAGUGGAUAAGCGAAAGUGAUAAGUAUCCCACCUGGGGAGUACGUUCGCAAGAAUGAAACUCAAAGGAAUUGACGGGGGCCCGCACAAGCGGUGGAGCAUGUGGUUUA